UCCUACGGGGGGCAGCAGUCUAGAGGCUUCGGCAAUGGGGGCAACCCUGACCGAGCGACGCCGCGUGUGGGAUUGAAGGCCUUCGGGUCGUAAACCACUGUCAUUGGGGAAGAAUGCCUGGAUGGCGAAUCCAGGAGGGACGGUACCCAAGGAGGAAGCCCCGGCUAACUCCGUGCCAGCAGCCGCGGUAAUACGGAGGGGGCAAGCGUUGUUCGGAUUUACUGGGCGUAAAGGGUGUGUAGGCGGCUGGGCAAGUCUGGUGUGAAAUCUUCACCGCUUAACGGGAAGAGGUCACUGGAAACUGCCUAGCUCGAGUAUGGUAGAGGCAAGCGGAAUUCCUGGUGUAGCGGUGGAAUGUGUAGAUAUCAGGAAGAACACCGGUGGCGAAGGCGGCUUGCUGGGCCAUUACUGACGCUGAGACACGAAAGCGUGGGGAGCAAACGGGAUUAGAUACCCCUGUAGUCC
rnacentral:rRNA from 1 species